GAGUUUGAUCCUGGCUCAGGAUGAACGCUGGCGGCGUGCCUAACACAUGCAAGUCGAGCGAAGCGCUAUACUUGAAUUCUUCGGAAGGAAAGUAUUGUGACUGAGCGGCGGACGGGUGAGUAACGCGUGGGUAACCUGCCUCAUACAGGGGGAUAACAGUUAGAAACGACUGCUAAUACCGCAUAAGACCACAGCACCGCAUGGUGCGGGGGUAAAAACUCCGGUGGUAUGAGAUGGACCCGCGUCUGAUUAGCUAGUUGGUAAGGUAAGGGCUUACCAAGGCGACGAUCAGUAGCCGACCUGAGAGGGUGACCGGCCACAUUGGGACUGAGACACGGCCCAAACUCCUACGGGAGGCAGCAGUGGGGAAUAUUGCACAAUGGGGGAAACCCUGAUGCAGCGACGCCGCGUGAGUGAUGAAGUAUUUCGGUAUGUAAAGCUCUAUCAGCAGGGAAGAAAAUGACGGUACCUGACUAAGAAGCACCGGCUAAAU
rnacentral:rRNA from 1 species